rnacentral:rRNA from 1 species
AGUGAACGCUGGCGGUAGGCCUAACACAUGCAAGUCGAACGGCAGCACAGUAAGAGCUUGCUCUUACGGGUGGCGAGUGGCGGACGGGUGAGGAAUACAUCGGAAUCUACUAUUUCGUGGGGGAUAACGAAGGGAAACUUACGCUAAUACCGCAUACGACCUACGGGUGAAAGCAGGGGAUCUUCGGACCUUGCGCGAUUGAAUGAGCCGAUGUCUGAUUUGAUAGUUGGCGGGGUAAAGGCCCACCGAGGCGACGAUCCGUAGCUGGUCUGAGAGGAUCAUCCGCUACACUGGAUCAGAGGCACGUUCCAGACUCUGGCGAGAGGCAGCGGUGGGGAAUAUUGGAGAAGGGAGCAGUGCCGAAUCCUGCCAUACCAGGGAGAGCAAGAUGGCCUACGGGUGGUAGAGCCCUGUUGUUGGGAGAGAAGUGCAGCAGUUUAAUACCCCGCUGUUCUGACGGUACCCAAAGAGUAAGCACCGGCUAACUUCGUG